GAGGCGGAGGCGGGCGGCUGUAAACAAACACUGCGGAGGCCAUGGUGGCGGUGGUGGUAGUUUGUGGUGGUGGUCGUGGAGGGGUGGUCGCUGCUGUUUUGUUGCUGUUGUGACAAGGCCGAAGGGCAGGAGCCUGAGUGCCUCCCCGCUGUCAGGGCUGCGGGAGCAGAUCGACCUGUGAGCGGACUGGCUGCGCAGAUGGAUGAUAGCAAGGUGGUUGGAGGCAAAGUAAAGAAACCAGGCAAGCGAGGUCGUAAACCAGCCAAAAUAGACUUGAAGGCAAAGCUUGAAAGGAGUCGUCAGAGUGCAAGAGAGUGCAGAGCCAGGAAAAAGCUGAGGUACCAGUACCUGGAAGAGCUGGUUUCAAGCAGAGAGAGAGCCAUCUGUGCUCUCAGAGAAGAGCUUGAAAUGUACAAGCAGUGGUGCAUGGCAAUGGACCAAGGGAAAAUCCCCUCUGAAAUAAAAGCCCUACUAACUGGAGAGGAGCUGGGCAAAGCACAGCAGAACUCAACCAAACUUGCCAAGACUGGGAAGACAGAAACAAACAGCAGCAAUCCCUGAGUUGAAUUCAGAACCAUCAGCACUGCAGGACAGAUAGCUUGGUAGCUAGCAGAAGAAUGCUGUUAUCAGAGAAGCAGAUGGAUCCCUGGGUGCAGGGGGAAGGAUCCCAGUCUACUGUCUUCUCUUUGCUCCUCUCCACGUGAAGCUCUUUGGUGGUGGUAUUUCAAAAUCUGCAUGGAGUGGGGCUUUUGAGAGGCGCAACUAUAGUCUUCCACUCUGGUCCAGAUGCUGUAUUUUGUCACAAGCUGUAGGACUCCUAGCAAGAAUCAUUGGAUACGGUUCAGUGGCUUCUGUCACAGGGCUAAAUAGGGCCAGCUCUCACAGCUGUUCCUCAUAGAGCAGAUGCUCCACUCCUCUCAUCAUCUUAAUAGCCCUACAUUGGACUCUCUCCAGUAGCUCCAUGUCUCUCCUGUACUGGGGAGCCCAGAACUGGACACAGUACUCGAGAUGUGGCCUCACUGGGGCUGAGUAGAGGGGCAGGAUCACCUCCUUGGACCUGCUGGCAACGCUCUUCCUAAUGCAGCCCAGGAGACCAUUGACUUUCUUGGCCACAAGGGCACAUUGCUGGCUCGUGGUUAACCUGUCAAAUAGGACCCCCAGGUCUAGUAUAUGACUCAGAGUAAGCAAGUAUGUGAUUGCACUGAGCCUUUUGGAGGAUUUAACCCGAAGAGUUAACAGGUAACAGAAACCUGGUAAAAAACAGUAGUAAGUUUUGCCUUUUUUCAUCUCUCAUAUGUCUGAUGCAUGGAAUCCCAAAAAAUGAAAUGAAUACAUUUUAUAGACCUGUCACUUAACAGAACAUUUUGCCUAAUCAUAAGUUAAAAAAAAAAAAAGGCCAUCAAUCAUGGUCUGCUUUCAUAAUCUGAUAGUAAGUGUUCACCAAAGAAUCUGUAUUCCUUUAAGUGCUUUUCAAAAGACUGUUAUAAUAGAAGCUUCUUAAAAUGUAUUAGAUACAUUUCAGAAAGCUUUUUCCGUUUUUGAGAGAUGAAAUCGUGGCUAGCUUUGGGAGAGUGCCUGUGACUUCCCCCCUCACCCCUCUUCUAAAAUUUUAAAGUGAAGGUUAGUCUAACUCAGUGAAUCUAGUUCUGCCUGAUACCCUCUGAAAAGACAGAGAAAACAUUGUCGUUGCAAGUGCUACUUUAUAAUCUCUAUUAUUAGCUAUAAAAUUACUGUUAAUAUAACAAGUGUGUGAGACUAGUUAAAAAUGUAGAUUACAGAGUGAAAUAUAACCCUUAAUCCAUCUCAUUAAGCUGCAGAGUUGCAGCAUGAGCGAUAGAAGAUCAGGUGGUGUAGAAAUCCCUGCUGUAGGUAAGGAAAGCAAAACACUAGCUGUAAGCUUCCUGUUUUUAAUGUUAUAGAGUAUUAAUUUCAGUUCUGUGAAUAACUGAUCUUCUUUUAUGACUCCAUUUAUGUUCUCCUCUUAUUAGGACACAGAGUUCUUUAAUCUGCAGUAAAAUCUGAGGUCUUCCAUACUGAAUAGUGUAUCGAUGGGCUAAAGUUCAACAGAUGCUGUUUUUAUGGAAUGUGUAGAUUUGUGUAGAUACAUAAGAAGAAUUUGCAGCAUCAGUUAUAACCCAUUCCUGAAGCAAUUUCUGCAAGUGCUGUUGCUCUAUAUUGUUUAUACUAUCACUUGUAUUUUCCUAUCUUACCUACUUCAAAUUUGUAACUAGGAAAUGCUAACUGUGUAGCUUCACUGUGUAGCUAACUAUUUGCUACAAUAUUUCAUUAAAAAAACCAAAACAACCGGUUUUCUUU